UGCCUUAUAUUCAUAUGUCUAUGAUGUUAGACUGCAAUUCUAAAGGAGUAAUAAAUUACUAAGGUGU
rnacentral:tRNA from 1 species